UGAGGAAUAUUGGUCAAUGGGCGAGAGCCUGAACCAGCCAAGUCGCGUGCAGGAAGACUGCCCUAUGGGUUGUAAACUGCUUUUGUAUGAGGGUAAAGUGUAGUACGUGUACUAUAUUGCAAGUAUCAUACGAAUAAGGAUCGGCUAACUCCGUGCCAGCAGCCGCGGUAAUACGGAGGAUCCGAGCGUUAUCCGGAUUUAUUGGGUUUAAAGGGUGCGUAGGCGGGAUAAUAAGUCAGUGGUGAAAGUUUUCAGCUUAACUGAAAAAUUGCCAUUGAAACUGUUAUUCUUGAGUACAAAUGAGGUAGGCGGAAUGUGUUGUGUAGCGGUGAAAUGCAUAGAUAUAACACAGAACACCGAUUGCGAAGGCAGCUUACUGGGAUGUAACUGACGCUGAGGC
rnacentral:rRNA from 1 species